GACGAACGCUGGCGGCGUGCUUAACACAUGCAAGUCGAGCGAGCGGCGGACGGGUGAGUAAUGUCUGGGAAACUGCCAGAUGGAGGGGGAUAACUACUGGAAACGGUAGCUAAUACCGCAUACAAUCCGCUGUGCCCCGAUGGGAUUGGCUGGUAGGUGGGGUAACGGCUCACCUCGGCGACGAUCCCUAGCUGGUCUGAGAGGAUGACCAGCCACACUGGAACUGGGCCACGGUCCAGACUCCUACGGGAGGCAGCAGUGGGGAGUAUUGCACAAGGGGCGCAGGCUGGAUACGGCCAGGCCGCGGAGUUGAGGAAGGCCUUCGGUUUUUAAAGCACUUUCAGCGGGGAGGCGUUACCCGCAGAAGAAGCACCGGCUAACUCCGUGCCAGCAGCCGCGGUAAUAC
rnacentral:rRNA from 1 species